ACAUGUUUAGACUCCAAACCCUACUGAAAUACAACACUUCAUGAGAUUUCUUUGUCCACAAUUUAAUAAGCUGUUAAUUAAAUUUGUUCGAUCAAUUUUAGGUCAACAACAUGAACGAUCUAACCCAAAUGUUGGAUCUUUCAGCAGAAUUACAACCAUUUUUCACAAUAAUGUGCACACCACCUCUGGGUUCCCCUGCACCUGGCACUGGGAGAUCACACGCCACAUGAACCCUUAAUUCCAGGAAUGAUGGCCUAGUGGGAUUCAGCCUUAUCGGAACAUGGGACCUCUUCGGGUUGCCUCUCCAAAAGCCACCAAUCAGCCACUGGCUGUGCUGUUGGCGGGGUCUAUGUGCUUGUUUGGGGAGUUGAAUGUGGACACUUGAGACAGGCAUGCGCUAAGGACUGUACUGACUUUCUGAAUGAGCAUUAUCGGCUCUGUGCUUCGUCAUAAGGCUUUAUCCGUGCUGGGCCUCAUCUGUAGUCGUGGUCUUCUCUGACAUGAGUCGUGGAGUGUGUGCUGUGCUGGUGUGUAUUCACUGAAUAGGGUGCUCUUCAUAGAGGUGAUAUCUUGAGACUGCCCCUUGGGUACGCCCAGGAUCCUCUGCAGCAGCACAUUAGAACUUAAUAAAUUGAAGAGAGUGAUUGCUGGUCAACACCUUUUAAA